UUAGUUGUGUUCUGUAUGUGGUUUUAUUGUCAUCUGGAGCAUUCACUCGGUCUGCUAGGCAUAGGUUAUGUUUACUGGGGCACACACCUCUUCAGAAGAGGUGAGAGUGGUUGACCAGUUAGCUUUCCUGGCCCUAGCAUCCUGGAACCUGAGGUCAGCUGUAGAGUGGAACUGGAAUGACUUACCCAUUGUAGUCUCGGUGCCCUAGUUCCUAUGGUUGGUUUUCUUCUGAUAGCUCUGUAAAACCCCAAUACAUAACUGUUCCCAUCUGUGACCCGAGAGCUACUCUCAGUAGUUUGAAGAGCCAAGUCUUGGCUGGGUACUCAGCCUUCAGACAAAAAAGGGACUUGAGGAAUGUGGGAAACGAACAAAAAGAUUUGGAUAAAGUAGCUUUCAUCGUCAACGCUGCUGUACCAGCUUGGCAGAUGGCCCUCAUGCUUUGGCGGUGAUCUGCCACCAGGGGGCGCGCGAGUUCACAGCCGUGUCCUGGUGUUCCUGGACUCCAGUGGCUCUUGAAGAGGAUUUUGACUACACUGGUGGAACUGGUCUACAAAGAGCCCUGCUGGGUUUCAAGUGGAGACUCACUGACCGUGGCCUCCCUUUCCUGCUCAGUCCCUGCCAGCCUCCUCUCUCCACUCUUCUCCCAGCACUCAUCCACAUCUGCUGCCGGGUGUUGUUAUUUUAAAUUUUGUUUUUCACUGAUAAUAACUUUGAAUAAUUUUUUAUUGAGAUCCUAUCAGCUGUAAAAUCUGCUCCAGGCAUGAAGCCCCUCUUUCCUCUGCAGUUUUGUCUUUCUUAAGUGGUAACCCCCAGACAGGUUCAGUCAGGUUUGAGCAGGUAGGGAGUUCUGUGCCCCCUUCUCUCCUGGCCACGGUGGCUUCUUUCUCUUUCCUCAGUUACGGUGCUGCCUGGAAAGAAUCACGUCUGAGAAUUGAGGCUUUCUGCCAGACCAGUGAAAGUGUAACUGUCUCUCACCAGGCCAUUGUGGGGCACUCACCGGGCACAGUCGCAGAGCCUCCCUGCUGGAUGAGGGCAGAGAGAGCUAGGGUCCCAGGCAGUGUGGAGGGUCUCAAGAGUAUGAGACCUCAGGAAACUGGUGGUGCCCAUUUCUCAGCUUCAGCCCCCAUGUCUUUCCCAUUUCAAGACUAACACAUGUGAUAAUCAACCACUAAAGAUGUCAGCCUGGCUGCCUGGGACCAGCAGGCUUACAUGAGUUCCUGCACCGGAAGACAGCCUCAUUCUUGACCAUCAAUCUAGGGAAAGUCGUGCGGGGGCUGGCAAGGCACUGAGGUCUCCGGGGGCUGCUCUCCGAAGCCUGGAAGGACAUCCGAGAAACUGCAGACAGGAGAGCUGCCGCCCUCUUGUGGAAAUCUGCGGUACUGCAGGAAGAUGAUGUGCCCUGCAGCUGGCUGGCCACUCUCCCCUGCCCACCUUGAACUCCAGGAAGCACCAGCUAGGAAAGGUCGGUUUGAUCCCCUGAAGCAGAUAAGAGGAGUGCUUCAGCACUGACUCGUGAUGGUGAUGAUGCCUUUCUCCAAAAGGAAUAAGUCUCAUCACUGAGGUCUGGAUCCCCUCUCAAAGAAAUGAAUGGGCUUCAGAAAUAGGUACCCAACGCUGAGACAGACAAGCCCAUCUCACAUAGACAUCUGUUUUGGGUCUUGCAGUGUCUUUUAAAACAGAGGUUAGCAAGUUUUUCUGUAAUGGGCCAGACAGUAAAUUCUUUAGGCUUGUGACUCUGCUGCCUGUUUCAACCAUUCAACUCCAUCAUUGUAGUGUGAGAGCAGCCAUGGACAGUCAUCAGAUGAGACAGCAGCUUCUGUUCCGAUACAAUGUUAUUUGGGACACCAAAAUUUAAAUUUCAUUACACACCAUGAAAUAUUAUUCUCGUUUUGAUCUUAUGAAAUUUUUUAAAAUGUAAAUAUCAUUCUUAGUUUGCCAAGCCUUACAAAAAGUGAACUGGAGCGGGCCCAUGGCUACAGCUGAUGGGCCCUUGACUUGCACUUUUCAGCAGCUCAGUCGUUGGGUGGUGCCCCUGUGAGCUAAACCCACUGGAGUGGUUUCUGUGCCACCCUGCAGUGACUGGGUGCUGACCUGAUCUGGCCCCUGGGGUCUCAUGGGCCAGGGGGCCAUCUGAGUACUUGACCCCUUGUUUACAGUCUGAGGGAGGCUCUAAAUUUUACCCUUUUCCUAACUGAACUGAGAGCCUUGUUCUCACUGAAAUGCAUCUCUGAUCCUAACAAAUCGAGGCAUUAGCAACUCUGAGCCUGACACACAGUUCAGGAGUGCCUCAGUGUCCAGUUUCCUCACUGAUAAGAAGCAUUUCACCUGGGUAUCUUUAGAUGAUAUGCCUGUUAAUGCACCAAAAA